AUGGAAUCUAAUUAACAAUAUAUUUACAUAGAUACCCAUCAAAUUGAGAUUUUUUAAGGAAUUUUGUUGCGACACGUUUUUGUAUUGCAAUUUAUAUCAUAUUUAUCUUGAUUGCGAUUCCAUGAUACUGGCUUUCUGAUUUUUCAGUAAUCAUCAAUAUAUAAAAUAUUAGAUUUGUCCGAGAAACUACAUACAUUUCUGUCGUCCUGUGCGUAUGCAUGUUUUACUCAUAAGGCCUAAGUUUAGCAGCAACGUCGGUGGUAACUGGAAGUUUCUUUCAGUCUUACUCUUCCAUACGCAAGCAAAACGGUACUGCAUUAAUUCUCAAAUCGGUAGCCUCUCAGGUGCAGUGGUGAUGUAAAAGCCCAGCAAACUAAAAUUGGCAAUUUUCUCAAGUUUCAAAUGGCUGUACCAAUCUUCAGCUACAUUUUUUCUAAGCUAAAUAGAUCUGUCAAGGAUUUAAGCAAGGAGCUCAUAUUUCCCACUUUGUAAAAGCUGAAGUUUUAACUUGAUGAAUGCACA
rnacentral:misc_RNA from 1 species